rnacentral:rRNA from 1 species
UACGUAGGGGGCAAGCGUUGUCCGGAUUUAUUGGGCGUAAAGAGCGUGUAGGCGGCCAUGUAGGUCCGUUGUGAAAACUCGAGGCUCAACCUCAAGACGCCGAUGGAAACCAUGUGGCUAGAGUCCGGAAGAGGAGAGUGGAAUUCCUGGUGUAGCGGUGAAAUGCGCAGAUAUCAGGAAGAACACCCGUGGCGAAGGCGGCUCUCUGGGACGGUACUGACGCUGAGACGCGAAAGCGUGGGGAGCGAACAGG